UACGGAGGGUGCGAGCGUUGUCCGGAAUCACUGGGCGUAAAGGGCGCGUAGGUGGCGCGGGAAGUCAACGGUGAAAGUUCGGGGCUCAACCCUGAAUCGGCCGUCGAUACUCCCGGGCUCGAGCACUGUAGAGGCAGAUGGAAUUCCGGGCGUAGCGGUGGAAUGCGUAGAGAUCCGGAAGAACACCGGUGGCGAAGGCGGUCUGCUGGGCAGUUGCUGACACUGAUGCGCGACAGCGUGGGGAGCAAACAGG
rnacentral:rRNA from 1 species